AGUGAACGCUGGCGGCGUGCUUAACACAUGCAAGUCGAACGAGAACGGGUUAUAGCUUGCUAUAAUUGUCAGCUAAGUGGCGCACGGGUGAGUAAUGUAUAGGUAAUAUGCCUCUUACUAAGGGAUAACAAAUGGAAACGUUUGCUAAUACCUUAUACUCCUUAUUAACAGAAGUUAAUAAGGGAAAGAUUUAUUGGUAAGAGAUUAGCCUGUAUUGUAUCAGUUAGUUGGUGGGGUAAUGGCUUACCAAGACUAUGCAACAUAACUGGUUUGAGAGGAUGAUCAGUCACACUGGAACUGAGACACGGUCCAGACUCCUACGGGAGGCAGCAGUGGGGAAUAUUGCACAAUGGACGAAAGUCUGAUGCAGCAACGCCGCGUGGAGGAUGACACAUUUCGGUGCGUAAACUCCUUUUAUAUGAGAAGAUAAUGACGGUAUUAUAUGAAUAAGCACCGGCUAACUCCGUGCCAGCAGCCGCGGUAA
rnacentral:rRNA from 1 species